rnacentral:rRNA from 1 species
UACGUAGGGGGCAAGCGUUGUCCGGAAUCAUUGGGCGUAAAGAGCGUGUAGGCGGCCCGGUAAGUCCGCUGUGAAAGUCGGGGGCUCAACCCUCGGAUGCCGGUGGAUACUGUCGGGCUUGAGUACGGAAGAGGCGAGUGGAAUUCCUGGUGUAGCGGUGAAAUGCGCAGAUAUCAGGAGGAACACCAAUUGCGAAGGCAGCUCGCUGGGACGUUACUGACGCUGAGACGCGAAAGCGUGGGGAGCAAACAGG